rnacentral:tRNA from 1 species
GGAAGGAUGCCGGAGCGGCUGAUCGGACCUGCCUGGAAAGCAGGUGUGCCCCAAAAGGGUACCGUGGGUUCGAAUCCCACUCCUUCCG